GAAUGACAUAUUUAUCACUAGGAUUAUAUUUAUUUAUCUUUGAUUGGUAUUGUUGUGAUGUUCUUGCAUACUUCAUCAUGGAUCCCGCAUUGGUUCAAGUCUUCGGCAUGGAUGACAUGUCAUCCCCCCAACAUAUACAGGGUAAUAUGUCACCUCCCCAACAAUAUAUAUAUAUAUAUUAGAUUGUUAAAUACUUGCGACAUUUAAAUUAUUGAUCUUAUUCGUUCAGGACCUUGUAUCUUAUUUUUUUCUCUUCAAGUUCCACGGAGCAUUAAAUAAGAUGUAGAGAACACAUAUGAUAUAUUUCGUCCAUCCAAGACCCUCC
rnacentral:lncRNA from 1 species